rnacentral:rRNA from 1 species
GCAUAUCAAUAAGCGGAGGAAAAGAAACCAACAGGGAUUGCCCUAGUAACGGCGAAGUGAAGCGGCAACAGCUCAAAUUUGAAAUCUGGCUCUCGGGCCCGAGUUGUAAUUUGUAGAGGAUGACUUUGAUGCGGUGCCUUCCGAGUUCCCUGGAACGGGACGCCAUAGAGGGUGAGAGCCCCGUCUGGUUGGAUGCCAAAUCUCUGUAAGUCUCCUUCGACGAGUCGAGUAGUUUGGGAAUGCUGCUCUAAAUGGGAGGUAUAUGUCUUCUAAAGCUAAAUACCGGCCAGAGACCGAUAGCGCACAAGUAGAGUGAUCGAAAGAUGAAAAGCACUUUGAAAAGAGAGUUAAAAAGUACGUGAAAUUGUUGAAAGGGAAGCGUUUAUGACCAGACUUGGGCUUGGUUAAUCAUCUGGGGUUCUCCCCAGUGCACUUUUCCAGUCCAGGCCAGCAUCAGUUUUCGCCGGGGGAUAAAGACUUCGGGAAUGUGGCUCCCCUCGGGGAGUGUUAUAGCCCGUUGUGUAAUACCCUGGCGGGGACUGAGGUUCGCGCUUCUGCAAGGAUGCUGGCGUAAUGGUCAUCAACGACCCGUCUUGAAACACGGACCAAGGAGUCGUCUUCGUAUGCGAGUGUUCGGGUGUCAAACCCCUACGCGUAAUGAAAGUGAACGCAGGUGAGAGCUUCGGCGCAUCAUCGACCGAUCCUGAUGUUCUCGGAUGGAUUUGAGUAAGAGCAUACGGGGCCGGACCCGAAAGAAGGUGAACUAUGCCUGUGUAGGGUGAAGCCAGAGGAAACUCUGGUGGAGGCUCGCAGCGGUUCUGACGUGCAAAUCGAUCGUCAAACAUGGGCAUGGGGGGCGAAAGACUAAUCGAACCUUCUAGUAGCUGGUUUCCGCCGAAG